AACAGGAUUAGAUACCCUGGUAGUCCACGCCGUAAACGAUGAGUGCUAGGUGUUGGGGGUUUCCGCCCUCUGUGCCGAAGGUAACCCAAUAAGCACUCCGCCUGGGGAGUACGGCCGCAAGGCUGAAACUCAAAGGAAUUGACGGGGGCCCGCACAAGCGGUGGAGCAUGUGGUUUAAUUCGAAGCAACGCGAAGAACCUUACCAGGUCUUGACAUCCCGCUGAUCGGUGUAGAGAUAUGCCUUUCCUUCGGGACAGCGGUGACAGGUGGUGCAUGGUUGUCGUCAGCUCGUGUCGUGAGAUGUUGGGUUCAGUCCCGCAACGAGCGCAACCCUUGUCGUCAGUUGCCAGCACGUAGAGGUGGGCACUCUGGCGAGACGGCCGGUGAAAGCCGGAGGAAGGUGGGGAUGACGUCAAAUCAUCAUGCCCCUUAUGUCCUGGGCUACACACGUGCUACAAUGGCCGGUACAACGGGUAGCGAACCCGCGAGGGGGAGCCAAUCCAAAAAACCGGUCUCAGUUCGGAUCGCAGGCUGCAACUCGCCUGCGUGAAGCUGGAAUCGCUAGUAAUCGCGGAUCAGCAUGCCGCGGUGAAUCCGUUCCCGGGCCUUGUACACACCGCCCGUCACACCACGAGAGUCUGCAACACCCGAAGUCGGUGAGGUAACCUUCGGGAACCAGCCGCCGAAGGUGGGGCAGAAGAUUGGGGUGAAGUCGUAACAAGGUAACC
rnacentral:rRNA from 1 species